GGAGUUGGUCAGGUUAUCCCCAGGGGGUGGAGAAGAGGAGGCCCAGGAGGAGGGGGUAAAAAGAAGGUGGAGGAUCCUGACUACCACUGAAUCCAAUACUGCUUCUCCUAGACCUGAGGCAUAAAAAGAGAAGGGUGUCUCAUCCCCCUUCCUCCUCUCCUCCCUCUCCUGAGCCUUAGCCAUGGCCGAGGCAGGGGCUGGGCUGAGCGAGACCGUCACUGAGACAACGGUUACCGUGACAACCGAGCCCGAGAACCGCAGCUUUACCAUCAAACUUCGGAAACGGAAACCAGAGAAAAAGGUGGAAUGGACAAGUGACACUGUGGACAAUGAGCGCAUGCGCCACCGCUCAUCAAAAUGCUGCUGUAUUUAUGAAAAACCCCGGGCUUUUGGCGACAGCUCCACGGAAAGUGAUGAGGAGGAAGAAGAGGGCUGUGAUCAUACACACUCUGUACGUGGCCACCGCAAAGGAUGGCGUCGUGCAACCCUGGGACCGACCCCCACCACGCCUUCCCGGCCUCCUGACCCUUCCCAGCCCCCAGCAGGGCCAAUGCAGCGCUAAAUUCCUCUUUCCCCCACCCUUCCUGAAUGUAUCCAUGUGGCUUCUUCUCCAGUACCCUCCUUCUCUCUCUUCUGCCUGACAGAGGGAAGAGGAAGAGGAGGGUAGACAGAGAUCCUGGAAUUCUGACUUGCUGCUAUUUCAGAACCCAGACUCCUGAAUUCCCCCAGUUCUCAUUUUUCCUCCCAAUACCCACCCUUCUCUCUCCAGGGAUCUAGGCACCUUGGUCCCAGCCUCUUCCUUUUGUUCUCGCUGUCAAACUGCCUGUCCUGGGAUCUGGUUAUCUUGGCCGUGCACUCUCAACUUGAGUAGCAAACAUCGAAAUUGGGUUUUCAACAGUCCCCGCUUUCACUGCCAGGGUCCCAGUCAGAUUCCAGAAAUUCUCACCCUGACUGUGCUUGCUAAUACUGGUUUAGAGCUAUCCCACUAAAAUAUUUCAUCCUAAUUCUUAGUCCUUGCCUGUGGGAUAUGAGGUCCUACAGGAGACCUCAGGGCUCCCAGCCCUUCUCCUGCUAACUCUCCUCAUGCCCUCAAGAGGAGUUAGAAGAGAGUUCCUUGUCAUUCUCACCUCUAAUGGAAGAUGGAACAAGAAUAAUCAUAUCCUUUCUUCCCACCCUUCUCCUGUGAUCUAGGAUUUCUGACAAAGCUGGCUUGAAACUGGUCACUUAGAGCCAACUAUCUCCUCAGCCUUUUGUUUUUCAGCUUCAGAGACAGAUUCAGUGUAGUCCCAAGGACCUGGGUCCCUGGGAGAGGAAGGAAAAGGGAAGGAGCAAAGAGAUGGGGGUAUAUCCCCUACACUACACUCUUACCUCUUAAUUCCUAGGCUUUGAUUUCUCUGCCAGCCCAGAUGUUCAGUUCUCUUGGCCCUCCCUACCCCUUUGCUGGGAUCUGGUUGUCAUUUUCUUUUGCCAGUUCUUUUGCCAUACACAGUUGUAGAGACCAGUCAAAUCCACACCACCACUGAGAUCUCAUU